UGAUGUGGAUUAAUUCGAUGCAACGCGAAAACCUUACCUACCUUGACAUGUCUGGAAUCUUGGUGAGAGCCGAGGGUGCCUUCGGGAGCCAGAACACAGGUGCUGCAUGGCUGUCGUCAGCUCGUGUCGUGAGAUGUUGGGUUAAGUCCCGCAACGAGCGCAACCCUUGUCACUAGUUGCUACAUUCAGUUGGGCACUCUAAUGAGACUGCCAGUGACAAGCCGGAGGAAGGUGGGGAUGACGUCAAGUCCUCAUGGCCCUUAUAGGUGGGGCUACACACGUCAUACAAUGGCUGGUACAAAGGGUUGCCAACCCGCGAGGGGGGAGCCAAUCCCAUAAAGCCAGUCGUAGUCCGGAUCGUAGUCUGCAACUCGACUCCAUGAAGUUGGAAUCGCUAGUAAUCGCGGAUCAGCACGCCGCGGUGAAUACGUUCCCGGGCCUU
rnacentral:rRNA from 1 species